rnacentral:lncRNA from 1 species
GGGUAAACCCUAUCCUGGUCUGUAGCCAUGAACAGGGGUACUGUAGUUUCCCACGUGAAUGAGAGCCUGCCUUCUGAAUAGAACACUUCUCAACCUUACGCUUUAACAGCAUUUCACAACUCCCACCCUAGCUCUCAAAUCUCCCUUAGAGGCACUUAUUUUGGAAAUGGCAUCUUGCUACAUCUUUGAUCUGGUCUUUGAGACCCAGGCUGGUCUCAAAAUCCUGGCCUGAAGCAAUUUUCCAACCUUAAUGUUCCAUGGAGCUGUCAUUACAGGUGUGAGUCAUAAUCCUGGUUCUCUCAUAAAGGUAUUUUUGUCAGCGAUGGCUGACUUGUUUUGCUGUAAGGGAAUAUGAAAAUAGGGCACUUUUAAUCUUUUCAUUUUACUGAUGUCACUCUCCCUAUAUAUUUUUACUUUCUAUGUUCUCUUUCAGAUUUGUCUGUAAUUUUAGAUUCAAAUAUUGAAGACAAUAUGCUAGAAUUUGCAUGAUAUGCCUGAAGUAAAUUACAUAAUUAGUAGG